CCUGUAAAGUAGGCCAGUCGAAGGAGGGAGUGACUGGCCAAAGACCACCCAGUGAGCUUCAUAUCUUAAGGAGGAUUUGAACUCGGGCCUGGUCUGAAACCCGGCUAUUUCCAAAGUGGAUGGCGCUACCCCCUUGUGAGUGGCGGGGUUACAUAAGGGGUACAAAGAGGUCAAUGGGGUGCUGGAGGUGUAAAUGAUUUCAGACUUUGAGAAGCUAGUAUCACCGGAUCAGGUUCAUCAGAGAACCAUAGAAUCAUAGAAGGGACCCCAAGGAUCAUCCAGACCAACCCCCAGCAAUGUAAGAAUCUCAGCUAAAAUAUCCAUGACAGAUGGCCACCCAAUCUUUCAAGCCCUAAAUGGCCUCGGCCCAGUAUACCUGAAGGAGCGUCUCCACCCCCAUCGUUCUGCCCAGAUGCUGAGGUCCAGCACCGAGGGCCUUCUGGCCGUUCCCUCCCUGCGAGAAGCAAAGUUACAGGGAACCAGGCAGAGGGCCUUCUCGGUGGUGGCGCCCACCCUGUGGAACGCCCUUCCAUCAGAUAUCAAGGAGAUAAAUAACUAUCAGACUUUUAGAAGACAUCUGAAGGCAGCUUUAUUGUGCUUUUAGUGUUCUGUUGGAAGCCGCCCAGAGCGUCUGGGGAAACCCAGCCAGAUGGGCAGGGUACAAAUAUUAUUAUUAUUACAGUGGACGCUCUGGUCGCGAAUGUGAUCCAUGCGGGAUACACGUUCGCAACGCGCAGCGUCCGCAACCCGCGUCUGCACAUGCGCGGGUUGCUAUUCACCGCUUCUGUGCAUGCGUGACCGCCGAAACCCGGAAGUAACCCGUUCCGGUGUUCCGCAACCUGAAAAAAUGCAACCUGAAGCGUCUGUAACCCGAGGUAUGACUGAAUUAUUAUUAUUAUUAUUAUUAUUAUUAUUAUUAUUACGUCUGCUUAAAAACCUCUAAGGAAGGAGCCCACCACCUCCCGAAGAAGUCCAUUCCACUGUCAAACAGCUCUUCCUAUUUGGUUAAAUUGAUUAAACUAAAUUAGUUUAGUUUAGUUUAGUUUUUGAAUAAAUGCGCAAUUGAUGUGCAACUGUUCCAAAUUUUAUUGUGUUAUUGUCUUCUUUAGUAGGUCAUGCCAACAGCUCUUUUGAAUAACACUUUUUAGGUAGGACAGCGGACAGUGGGGCGAGUUUACGGAACUAGGUAGUCACUGGGAGAGCCAGGAUGUUGAGCUGCUGUUAAGCCUGAUUUAAGUCUGAUUUAGAAAGCCUGUUCAGAGAAUAAAUCAACAACGGGCUUUCUUCCCCCACUCCACCAGAAGCUGCAUCUUAGCUGAUGUCCAGGAAAGGAUCUGUGCAACUCUAUCAGUGAGUAACACUUUGGGAAAUUCUGACAGCGCCUGUCGCGGUGGAGUGGGGGUGAUGGCACACUGUGAAUUUUCAGCUUUCCAUAGAAGGAAGGAUCAUAGAAUUGCAGAGUUGGAAGGGAACCAGAAAGUCAUCCCUGCAAUAAGAAUCCAAAGAAAAGAGAAGGGAUUCAAGACCUACACAUAUCCCACUACCCACUUUUGAGGCUCACCUGUCUAUUCAACAAACAGGAAUAGUCAAGGACUUUGAACAGGGCACAGCCUGCAGCAGGAAUCCAUGAACAUGAGAGAUUAGGGAAUGUGUGGCCUUGGGUUAUCGAUCCUUUGGCGGGACGUUUUCAGCUAUCUGAAGGAGCGUCUCCACCCCCAUCAUUCUGCCCGGACACUGAGGUCCAGCUCUGAGGGCCUUCUGGUGGCUCCCUCACUGCGAGAAGCCAAGUUACAGGGAACCAGGCAGAGGGCCUUCUCGGUAGUGGCACCCGCCCUGUGGAACGCCCUCCCAUCAGAUGUCAAAGAGAAGAAUAACUACCAGACAUUUAGAAGACAUCUGAAGGCAGUCCUCUUUAGGGAAGCUUUUAAUGUUUACUGUAUUAUUGGAAACCCACAAGCAAGAUUCGAACACAAGACUCCUCUCCCUGCCCUCCUGCUGUUUCCAGCAACUGGUUUUCAGAAGCAUUACUGACUCUGACCAUGGAGGCAAAGUAUAACCAUUGAGGCUGGAGCCCACUGAUAUUUUUCAGCAAGAUGCCUUGCGAGGGUUUUUGGCGGUUUCCUCACUGCAAGAUGCGAAGUUACAGGGAACCAGGCAGAGGGCCUUCUCGGUGGUGGCACCCACCGUGUGGAACGCCCUCCCAGCAGAUGUCAAGGCAAUAAACAACUGUUUUACUUUUAAAAGACAACUGAAGGAAAGUUUUUAAUGUCUGAUGCUGUAUUGUAAGCUGCCCAGAGUGGCUGGGGAAACCCAGCCAGAUGGGCGGUGUAUAAAUAAAUUAUUAUUAUUAUUAUUAUUAUUAUUAUUAUUAUUAUUAUUCAUUAAGCCAGACUUUUCCAGACAACAAUUCCAGGUUCCCUCAUUUAAUAUGGCACUUGUGACUGGCCUGUUUGUAGCAAUACUCUCAGACUGAAGAUUCGCCACUGCAACAUCCAGUUUCCCACAGCCGUCAGUCACAUGCCGCUGGGAACCCCACGUGAAGAAUGUGAGAACAUCAGAACAGCCCCUCGGAUCAGGCCAAAGGUCCAUUCUGAGUCAGCAUCCUGUUCUCACAGUGGCCCGACCAGAGGCCUGUGGGAAGACCGCAAGCAGGACAUUGGGGGAUUGUUAUAUAAAAAAAAUGUUUUUAAACCCUCAAAGUUGCUUACAAAUAGCUAAAGCAAUAAAAUCAAGAAAAAUCUGCAACCCUGCUUUAAAAUACGCAAAAGUUAAAAUACUAAAAUGUAUUAAAACCACCUCCCCUUUCUCAACAUCUGGGUUGGCGUGUCUAAACAAGAAUGUUUUUAGCAGGCACUGAAAAAGAGUACAGUUGUACCUUGGAUCUCAAACGCCUUGGCUCCCAAACAAAUUGGCUCCUGAAAGAUCGAACCCCGGAAGUGAGUGUUCCAGUUUUCGAAUGAUUUUCAGAAGCCGAAUGUCCUGUUCCGGGAGUCGAACGGACUCCCGGAACGCAUUCUGUUCGAGAACCAAGGUACAACUGUACAGUGAAGGCGGUCGCUUGCUUCUCAAUAGGCAGGGAUUUUGUAGGCGCUACCCCGUGAAGGAGAACUACUUGGAAAUGAUUUACAGAUGGUAUUUAACUCGGAGUAGGCUUACUAAGAUGAAUAAGACUGAAUCAGAUAAGUGCUGGAGAUGAAAUGAGGUUGCGGGUACGUUCUUUCAUAUGUGGUGGACCUGUAAAAGGGUAAAAAGAGCAUUGGGAAAUAAUUUAUAAUGAAUUGGAAAAAAUGUUUAAAAGCACCUUUCCAAAAAAAGCUUUUUGGUGGGUGUCAGGGAACUGCCAUCGGAAGGAAGGGAGGUGAAAGGACUCAGACAGGUUGGAAGAGAUUCAGCAGCUGAAGAGGGAACCAGCAAGGGGAGAGAAGCUGAACUGAGGGAGGUGAAAGGGCUCAGACAGGUUGGAAGAGACUCAGCAGCGGAAGAGGAAACCAGCAGGGGAGACAAGCUGAACUGAGGGAAAGGGAGCUGGGGGAUGGCUCAGAGAUACUUCCAGCGAAAACAGUGGUGAGGUUUCCGGACCUCCUGUAGCGACACCCACUCCUCGCCGGAAACUGUCACGCAGAGAGUCCAGAAGACGUGUUUCCGUUAAGGAGCUUUUAUGUUGGAAGCGAUUACGAAAGCAACCACUGUCGGAAUCUUCUAGUGACUAAGAGGAGCCAUGUCAGAGGGGCUCAGUCACAGACAGAGGUUUGUGGACUUGAACAAACUCUGAGGGAAUACGAUUUUACGCACAAGCAGCUCAUAAUCCCAUCACAGCAUUCCGACAGUCUUUGAACGCAGCUUGUGCAGGAGACGGCAUAAUAAUGAGCAACCCAGCAGGAACCGGAGAAGCAGGGGCUGGAGCGGGUCCAAGCCUGGAAGAAAGGUACCGGGUGUUAGAGGUCCAGCUGGCGCUGCAGACGGCGAGGCUGGAGGAGAGGAGGGCUCAAGAUGCAGACAAAGGGAGAAAGCCACCCAGCUCGCCAGAAAGGUACCAGGAUUGGUGCAAAAAUUUGGGGGGGAGCCCAAAGACUAUCAUAGCUUUCGGACAGAAAUGCAAUAUGCCCUCAAUCUGCAGUUUGAUGAUUUCCUGAUGAGGAAUCACGAGUGGCUUUUGUGAUUGGGCAUCUUGAAAAGGGGGCGAGAGACUGGGUUAGACCCCUGAUGGCAGCGAAUAGUGACGUCUUAAAAGACACGAUGAAGUUCUUUCGCGCCAUGGAUCUGAUGUUUUCCAGCGAUAUUGAAAAGGGAGUGGUGCGCAGACAGUUAAUGGCUUGCAAACAGGGGAGCCGAUCUGUACGUGAGUACUGGACUGAGUUCACCAUGCUGAUACACAGAUUGGGGUGGGACUUAUCGGCGGAACCCAUUCAAAUGCUCUUUGAAGAAGGGCUUUCUUCGGCUGUGAAAGAUGAACUUUCCCGGGCGCCCAGGGCGGAGUCUAUGGACCAGCUGACCAAAUCAGCGCUGGCCAUAGGAGCGCGCCAGGAGGCGAGAGCAUUGGAGAGGCGGGAAGGGAAAGGGGAACGUUGGAAGGAGUUCCGCAUUCCAGACAUUCCAGAGCCAACUGUCCCGCCGGCAGAGCCGAUGGAAAUCGGAACAGCGCGCGCGCGCGCAGUUUCAAAGCCCAGUGAGGGGGAAAAGAAGGAUGGAAAAGGCGCCCGGAAAUGCUAUCUCUGCCAACAGCCAGGGCACUUUGCCAGAGUCUGCCCCCAGAGGAAGGAAUGGCAAGGGAUGGUGGGAGCUGUGGAGGGAAGAGAGGAAAAAUACCGGAGCAACUAAAAGCCAACGCCUGGCUGCCAUUGUCGGGGCACAGCAGCCAGGCCAAAGAGCAGUGAAAGUGCCCACUCCAGAACCUCCUAAACCCGCCCUAGUGAUAGAAGUGACACUAGAGCUCCCAAACGGACACCCUCUAAAGAUAAAGGCGCUGUUGGACUCAGGCAGCUCCUGCAAUUUCAUGAGCAAAGAGUUUGCAGCUGAACACCAGAUACAGACGCUCCUUUAAGCAACCCCUGCAGGUAACCACGAUCGAUGGCAGGGAGCUGUUGGGAGGAGAAGUCAGCUUGCAGACCGUCCCAAUGAUAAUGAAGGUGGCAAGGCACACUGAACUGAUAGCUUUUAAUGUGGCCACCUUGGGAGGAGCUCCCAUUAUAUUGGGGAUGAGCUGGCUAGCGUUACAUGAUCCGCUGGUGGGCUGGCAUCAGAGAGUGGUUUCUUUUGGGUCAGCACAUUGCUUAGAACAUUGCAAAGAGGGAAAGGUUUUGGCAGGGGCCCAAGCCACCCUAGCAGGGACUGAAGUGAAGGAGAACGUGAAGGUACCACGACAAUACGCAGAUCUCCGCGACGUCUUCAGCGAAAGGGAAGCUGACCAACUACCACCGCAUAGAGCCUUUGACUGUCAAAUCAAUUUGCUCCCUGGGGCACAGCUCCCUGUGGGCAAGCUGGACGCCAUGUCAGACAGAGAGAUGCAGGAGCUAAGAGAGUUCAUUGACACGAACCUGAAGAGAGGGUUCAUCAGAGAGUCCAGGGCGGUGGGGGCAGCCCAGUGUUUUUGUGGACAAAAACACGAACAAGCCGAGACUGGUGUGUGACUUCAGGGCCUUAAAUGCAGUGUCAGAACCAGUGGCCUUCCCGAUGCCCAGGAUUGACGACAUUUUGACAAGGGUGCGAAAGGGAAAGAUUUUCACCAAGCUGGAUCUAAGGGGGCGUACAACCUGAUAAGCAUAUGGAAGGCGGAUGAAUGGAAAACCACCUUGUUCACCCCUUUAGGGUCUUUUGAAUACUUAGUUAUGCCCUUCGGUCUACAAGCAGGCUCCGCAACAUUUCAAUCGUUUAUGAACCACGUCCUGGGGCCGUUGCUUUACAAGAAUUGUGUGGCCUUCUUAGACGACGUGUUGGUGUAUUCUGAGAAUGAGGAGCAGCAUGUGAGAGACGUCAGAGAAGUGUUGAGCAGGCUGCAAGCCAACCAGCUGUGGGUGAAACUGGAGAAGUGUCAGUUUCAUACCAAGGAGGUGGAAUUCCUGGGGUAUCGCCUGUCUGACAAGGGGUAGGCCAUGGAUCCCGGCAAGGUCCAGGCGGUACUGGAAUGGAAAACACCCAAAACAAGGAAGGAUGUGCAGAGGUUUUUAGGGUUUGGGAACUUCUAUCGUAAGUUCAUCCCAAACUUUGCCCACCUGACGGCGCCCAUUACGGACUGUCUCAGCAGUAAGAAGAAGUUCGCUUGGACGGAGGAGGCGGAGCAAGCAUUUGAGGAACUAAAAGGGCCUUCGCCUCGGAACAACAGCUCCUGCAUGUGGAUUUACAAAAACCGAUGAGAGUGGAAACUGACGCAUCAGACAGAGCGGUUGGGGCGGUGCUUCUCCAGCCAGGGAAGGAGGAGUCAGAGUGGAGACCGUGGUGCUUUUUUCGCGAAAGCUGAACAAAUCUGAGAGGAACUACACGGUGUAUGACCGAGAACUACUAGCCAUUCAUGAGGCGUUCCGGAGAUGGAGGCACCUGCUAAUUGGCGCACAACAUAAGGUGCAAGUGUGCACUGACCACAAGAACCUAGAGUAUUGGAGGACGGCACGAGUGCUCAACCAACGGCAAGUGAGAUGGGCCCAGGAAUUCUCCAAAUUUAACUUUGAGAUUUGUUACGUGCCAGGCCCAGAGAACAUUAGGGCGGACGCUCUCUCACGCAAACCUGAAUAUUGGGAGGGGAGGGAGCACCCGAAGAGAGACAUGUCAUUCCAGAGGACCGCUGGGUGUGUGGGGCGGCAUUGGUGGGACAAAGAGAACUGGUAGAAGAAACAGAGAAUGAUGAAUACGCCCAGAAUAAGCUCAGAGGUCUUAGGGAUGAGGGAGAGGAAUCAAGGGGUUUCGAGGAAAGAAAUGGAGCUUUGUAUUACAAAGGGGCACUGUAUAUCCCUGAAGGAGACUUAAGGGGAGGGUACUCAAGCAGUUGCAUGACAGCCCCACGGCGGGGCAUUUUGGGCAACACAAAACCAUGUGGUUGGUCACCAGGGAAUUUUGGUGGCCUAAGGUGAGGGAGGAUGUACGUGAGUAUGUAAGAGGGUGCGAGCAGUGCCAGCGAGCCAAAGGGGAAAGGCGGGCGCCGGCGGGGCUAUUAGAACCCUUACCAACACCAGAACGACCUUGGGAGGCAGUGUCGAUAGAUUUUAUGACUGAUCUGCCGAAGUCCAAAGGGAAAACAGCCAUCAUGGUGGUGGUAGACCUACUAACAAAGAUGUGCCACUUUGUAGCUUGCUCGCAUGCAGUCACGGCGGAAGAGACAGCGAAGUUAUUUGUAGAACACAUUUUUAGGUUGCACGGGGUGCCAUUGAGGGUGGUCUCAGACCGAGGAAAACAAUUUACUUCCAGGUUCUGGAGGAAGCUCAUGAGCUUACUGCAGGUGGAGGUCAACUUUUCGACUGCCCGGCACCCUGAAACCAACGGGCAGGCGGAAAGAGCAAACGGUGUCCUCCAGCAAUACCUGAGGUGUUAUGUCAAUGACAGAGAGAAUGACUGGGUAGAAAAGUUGGCGCUGGCGGAAUUUGCCUACAACAAUGCCGAGAAUGUGUCCACAGGGAUGAGCCCCUUCUUGGCUAAUUAUGGGUGUCAUCCCAGGGCUUUCCCAGGGGGAGAAGGGGAGAGAUGGAGCGAACCGGCAGCCGAGCAUUUUGUAGAAGAAAUGGAAGCAAUCCACCGUCAGCUCCAACUCAACUUAGAAAGGGCGAAGGAAGAAUACAAGAGGCAGGCAGACAAGAACCGAAGGGAAGGUGAAACCAUAAGGGUUGGAGAUAGGGUGUGGCUGUCAACCCGAGGGCUGCCGCUCAAAGGAGGUUGUAAGAAAUUACGACCCAGGAGGUUGGGUCCCUUUGAGGUCAUUCAACAGGUCAACCCAGUGGCUUUCAGGCUCCGGUUACCCAACCACAUGAAACUGCACCCAGUAUUUCACAGGUCGUUACUGUCACCGUACGAGGGGGGACGAGAAGGGAUGGACACUCUGGGACCGGUCAUAGAAGAAAGAGAAUGCAGCAGUCAUGUGGCAGAAAUCCUUGAUGCCAGGUGGAAGGGGAAUCAGGUGGAGUAUUUGGUAGCGUGGGAAGGAGAACCGGAGUCAGAAAACACGUGGGUAAUGGCCAAAGAUAUCAAUGACGAGGUAUUGAUAGAAAUGUUCCAUCAAAGGUUCCCGCGGAAACCUCAGCCUGUGGAGAGGUUCCGGAGGGAAUACUUUGGGACCACUGAGGAGGAGGAGGAGUUGGAAGGAUUCCCAGAAUCGGAAGGGGAAGGGGAGAUGGACUCGGAGGAGGAGGAGUGCUUCGAGACCAGGAACCGCAACAGGUGGAGAGAAGUGUUCGAGACAUCGGAAGAUGAAGGAAGUUCAUUCCGGGGUUUUGCCUCCUCACCGCCCGUAGAGGAGGGGGCGAGAGGGGGUGAAGGGGGCCCUGGAGGGGAGGUGGAUGUCAGGGAACUGCCAUCGGAAGGAAGGGAGGUGAAAGGACUCAGACAGGUUGGAAGAGAUUCAGCAGCUGAAGAGGGAACCAGCAAGGGAGAGAAGCUGAACUGAGGGAGGUGAAAGGGCUCAGACAGGUUGGAAGAGACUCAGCAGCGGAAGAGGAAACCAGCAGGGGAGACAAGCUGAACUGAGGGAAAGGGAGCUGGGGGAUGGCUCAGAGAUACUGCCAGCGAAGACAGUGGUGAGGUUUCCGGACCGCCUGUAGCGACACCCACUCCUCGCCGGAAACUGUCACGCAGAGAGUCCAGAAGACGUGUUUCCGUUAAGGAGCUUUUAUGUUGGAAGCGAUUACGAAAGCAACCACUGUCGGAAUCUUCUAGUGACUAAGAGGAGCCAUGUCAGAGGGGCUCAGUCACAGACAGAGGUUUGUGGACUUGAACAAACUCUGAGGGAAUACGAUUUUACGCACAAGCAGCUCAUAAUCCCAUCACAGUGGGGAUAAUUCAGACUGAAAUUCCCAGGUGUCAAAAAAGGUUAUUUAUGUAUGCCACUACGGCAGCCUGUGUUUUGUUAGUCCAAAAAUGGAAAAUGAGCGAGGUCUCAACCAAAGAAGAAUGACAACUUAAACUGAUGGAACAUGUGCAGCUUGCAGAACUAACUUAUAGAUUAAGAGAACAAGGAGAACAUUCGUUUAAAGAAGAUUGGAAAAUGUUUACUGAAUAUAUGGGGCGGAAUUGUGUAUACUUGAAAACAUUGGCAGCAUUAAGAUAAAUUCAACAGUGUGAAUAAGUUUUGCUGGAAGUAAUAUAUGCAAGGAUUUAUGCUAUGUAAAAUGAACCAUGGAAAGAGAAGAAGGGAAGUAACUGAUAUUUUAAGGAUGUCUAAAUUAUAAAGAAGGCUGAUUGCCAAAGAAUGGAUGCUUUUGAAUUCUGGUGCUGGAGGAGACUCUUGAGAGUCCCAUGGACUGCAAGAAGAUCAGACCUAUCCAUUCCUGAGUAAAUCAGCCCUGAGUGCUUACUGGAAGGACAGAUCCUGAAGCUGAGGCUCCAAGACUUUGGCCACCUCAUGAGAAGAGAAGACUCCCUGGAAAAGACCCUGAUGUUGGGAAAGAUGGAGGGCACAAGGAGAAGGGGACAACAGAGGAUAAGAUGGUUGGACAGUGUUCUCGAAGCUACCAGCAUGAGGUUGACCAAACUGCAGGAGGCAGUGGAAAACAGGAGUGCCUGGCGUGCUCUGGUCCAGGGGGUCACAAAGAGUCGGACACAACUAAACCACUAAACAACAACAACAAAUGAAUAUUCUAAAUUGUAAAACAGAAAAUUUAAUAAAAAUUACACACACACACACAAAGUGUAGGCACUGCCACACCGAAUGGUGGAGUCCUUACAAAUGUGGAAUGGGCAUUAUGUGGCACUAUCGUAGUGCCGGUUCCACCAAUCAAAGCACUAGCAAGAAACCAGUCUUUUAGUGGGCCGCGUCUCCACUUUGGAACUAUUGGCAUCAGUCAGGUGCCCUCCCUUUACUAUUUUCAAUACCUGCUUUAAACAUUUUUGUUUAGGCGGGCCUAUCCGGACAUGUAAAAGGUGGCAUGCGUUUGAGUCUCUUUUUAACUUGCUUUUGCUUUUAAUAAUAUUUGGGGUGCUUUUAUUGCUCCUGUUUUCAACUGCCUUUCAUUGAUAAAUUUAAUGGGUGUGUUUUUGCAAACUGCCCGGAGGCUUUAUUGCAACAUUUCCAAACAUGAAAUGAAAUAAACAAAUCUGCCACCGAAGGCAGUUGCCUCACUCUGCCUAAUGGUGCAGCCGGAUGGCCCAGCUCAGGCGGAUAUUGUUCCUGCACAUGGGACUAUAUUAUAACUAAUAGCCAUGGAUAGCUACUAAUUUGUCAAAUCCCCUGUGGAAAAGAGCAGUGGAGAACAGCCUGUAAGCAAAAUGAAAAGGUGAAGAGAGGAAGAAGAGGGGAGAAACGAACUGAAGUUUGUAGCAGCUGCUUCUGCGAGCCAGAGCAUCUCAGCUGAAGAAGAUUUGGGGGUGCAAUCCUAAUCCUGUUUGGCUGGGAGCAACUGCUACCGAAUGCAAGAGGAGUUAUUUCUGGAUAGACAUUGUUAGGAUGAUGCUGUUCAGGGCUGGAUUUAGGUUUGAUGAUGCCCUCAGCUACUGAAGGUAAUGGCGCCCUUUUUAUGUCCAGCUGUCCUUUGUCAGCAACAAAUUGUCACUGUUUUUUGUGUUGAAUAUAUGCUAUAUGGUAAUUUAUGGACCUAAUAGGUAUCUAAAGCCAUUUACACAUAACAAAGAGGAGCCCACACAACACAAAACACUGUUGCUGUAUGUAGGUUUUAUUUUAUUUGUUUUUUAUCUUAUAUUUUGGAAACAUACAUCCAUUUUUUCCCUUAAAUUUUUUUGGGGGGCCCCCAAGAGAGUGGGGCCCUAAGCUAUACAGUGGUGCCUCUGGUUGCGAAUGGGAUCCGUUUUGGAGGCCCUUUCGCAACCUGAACAGAAUGCAACCUGCACCUGCUAGUCUGCGUGAGUCACGAUCCACCGCUUCUGCGCAUGCGCGUGACAUCAUUUUGCGCGUCUACGCGAGCGGUGAAACGUGGAAGUAACCUGCUCUGUUACUUCUGGGUCGCCGCGGGACGCAACCUGAAAACACGCAACCUGAAGCAAAUGUAACAUGAGGUAUGACUGUAGCUUGUUUAGCUUAUACUGUGGUACCUCGGGAUGCGAACGGGAUCCGUUCAGGAGCCCCGUUCGCAUCCAGAAGCAAACGUAACUAGCGACGGCACGUCUGCGCAUGCACAUGUCGCUUUUCGCCGCUUCUGCGCAUGUGUGUGAUGUCAUUUUGAGCAUCUGCGCAUGCGCGAGCGGCGAAACCCGGAAGUAACCCGCUCCGUUACUUCCGGGUUGCCGCGGAGCGCAACUCGAACGAGCUCAACAUGAAGCAUAUUCAACCCAAGGUAUGACUACGUAAAUCCGGCACUGGUGCUGUUAGACCGGAAAACAUAGAGCGUGCUUUAUACUGAGUCAGGCAGUAUUGUCUUCACUGACUGGCAGCAGCUGGAAAUGCCCCUGGGGAUUCAGCCUGGAUGCUCUACCACCGAGGGGCCUUACUCGGGUCUAAAAAGGUUGGCCUCAGGCUGUUUCCCCCACCCCACUGCCAUAAAGAUCACUUAUCUUGGGCCCAUCAUUCCCUUCCUCUCCGCCUAACCCGCCUCAAAGGGUUGUUUUGAGGAAACCAGCCUUGAGUGCCUGCCAACCCCGGAGUGCCUUGGAGGAAAGCGGAGAUAAACACGUGAUCAAAUAAUAGUAGUGCACGAAGUAUAAUAACUACAUGGCUCAGGUGUGCAGGUCUGAGUAGCAUGGGUUGGCUCGUCAUUGCAAUAACCUUGGAGGUGGCGACACCAAUUCUUUGUGCUGUUCUCUGCAUUGUUUAUGAAUCAGCACCUGGACAAUGGAACAGAACCACCCUGCAGGUGUGUCGCUAGGAGCGGUCCUAAGGAGCAUUGGGCCUCAAAUCUUUUUCCAAGUCACCCGAGUUUUGGGGAGUAAUUAAUUCAGAGCCUAGGACUUGCCGAUCAGAAGGUCGGCGGUUCAAAUCCCCACGAAGGGGUGAGCUCCCGUUGCUCGGUCCCUGCUCCUGCCCACCUAGCAGUUCAAAAGCACAUAAAAGUGCAAGUAGAUAAAUAGGUACCGCUCCGGUGGGAAGGUAAAUGGCGUUUCCGUGUGUUGCUAUGGUUCGCCAGAAGCGGCUUAGUCCUGCUGGCUGUACGCCAGCUCCCUUGGCCAGUAAAGCGAGAUGAGCGUCGCAACCCCAGAGUCGUCCGCAACUGGACCUAAUGGUCAGGGGUCCCUUUACCUAAUUCAGGGGAAAAUGACCAGGGGGUGGUUAGUGGGUAAGACAUUGAUUUUUUGGGGGAGGGGGGGGAUAAAUUAAUUUUAGCUGGUUUUAUCUACAGAUGAUUAGGGGGAAAUGAACAGGGAGAAACUGAAGGAGAAUUUAAUUUACUUCAAAGAGGAGCUCCUAGGGAAAUUCACUGGGGUGUAUAUGCUGAAGGGGAACGGAUUUGGGGCAAUCUGGAGUGGGGCACAAAUUAACUGAGGAAUUUUCCCUGGGAGAUCUGGAUGGGGAAUUAGCAGGCUUUCCAUGAUUCAUUUAAAGAUAUGUGAUCCUAACCUCAACCACCUGGGAGCAAGUCCCACUGAAUUCAACAGGACUUACUUCUGAGUAGAUAUAACUGGGAUUGGACUGAAAACCUGCAACUAUACCCAGAGGUUUACACUUGCAAACUAUAUGCAAAUCUGUGCCUAUUGCCCAAAUCUUUUAAGUAUCUGGCAACACCCCUGCGGUAUAGUCCCAUCCCAACCUGCUGCUUGCAAGUUGCUUGGAAAGCGUGGUGGAGCAAAGGUGUUCCUUGAGUCCAAAAGCAAGGAUUUCCCUGGAACCCAUCAAUUAAUUACAAUAUUGCAAAAAAAAACAACAACACCCCAAACCCUGCAGUUUAGUAAGUGGUUAAAUAUACCUCUCCUGCAAGCCUGGGAUAUAGUCUAAGAUUGCAACAGGAGAAGAAUGUCUACGUGUCAUCACAAGGGUGUUUGCAACGUGGGAGGCUGGGGUUUGGGAAGAAACAUGUCGGCAGGCCAGACUCCUCAGGACUCAACCAUCAAACUGACAACAGAGGCAUUUGCAAGGUCAUGCCAUGCCACCAGCAAUUCACACAACCAUCUGUUUAAUAAUAAUAAUAAUAAUUUAUUUCUUAUACCCAGUUUCCCCAGCCACUGGGCAGCUUCCAACCAAAUAUUAAAAUACAGUAAUACAUCAAGCAUUAAAAGCUCCCCUAAACAGGGCUGCCUUCAGAAGUCUUCUAAAUGUCUGGUAGCUGUUCUUCUCUUUGACAUCUGGUGGGAGGGCGUUCCACAGGGCGGGUGCCACUACAGUGGUACCUCAGGUUAAGUACUUAAUUCGUUCCGGAGGUUCGUACUUAACCUGAAACUGUUCUUAACCUGAAGCACCUCUUUAGCUAAUGGGGCCUCCUGCUGCUGCCGCACCGCCGGAGCACAAUUUCUGUUCUCAUCCUGAAGCAAAGUUCUUAACCUGAAGCAAUAUUUCUGGGUUAGCGGAGUGUGUAACCUGAAGCGUAUGUAACCUGAAGCGUAUGUAACCCGAGGUACCACUGUACUGAGAAGGCCCUCUGCCUGGUUCCCUGUAACCUCACUUCUUGCAGCCAGAAGGCCCUCGGCGCUGGACCUCAGCGUCCGGGCAGAAUGAUGGGGGUGGAGACGCUCCUUCAGGUAUACAGGACUGAGGCCGUUUAGGGCUUUCAAGGUCAGCACCAACACUUUGAAUUGUGCUUGGAAACAUACUGGGAGCCAAUGUAGGUCUUUCAAGACUGGUGUUAUAUGGUCUGGGAUGAAUGAGUCUGACCUCCGGGAAGCUGCCUUAUACUAAGUCAGACCAACAGACCACCAAGCUCAGUAUUGUCUGACCGGCAUUGGCUCUCUAGGGUUUCAGGCAGGGGACAAGACCAGCCCUAAUCUGGAGCGGCCAUUGCGGGUUGAACCCGAGACCUUCUGCAUGCAAAGCAGAUGUAUCUGACUUAUGCUGAGUCAGGCCCACCUAGAUCAAUACUGUCUGCACUGACUGGUAGCAGGUCUCCAUGGUUUCCAGACAAGGGACUUUUCCAGUUUCAAUCAUUCUCAUAAUAAUCCAUUAUAAACUGGUCACACCUGGCUGCUGGGGGAGGUUUUAGUCAGGCUUAGCCAGCCUGUGGUUUCUGACAGCUCACUAGGCAUGGUCUUUCUAUUUCCACACCCAGGACUAGCAACUUGAAACAGAAGAGGAAAAACUGCUAUUCCCAGGAAGGUUUACUCUAGGCCCAAAACCACAUGUGGGAUAGACGCAGUUGUGUGUCCUUGUUUCUCAAUUUGAACCUUUUUCCAUGGGCCUGUAUGUAAUAAUAAUGAUAAUGAUAAUGAUAAUGAUAUAAUGAUAAUAAUAAUAAUAUUUAUUUAUACCCCACCCUCCCCAGUCAGAGCUCAGGAUGGCUAACACCAAUAAACUCACAGUAAAAACGUAAUUGGGGGGGGGGGCAAUUUAAAAUACAAGUUAAAAUGCAUUUUAAAAUGCAGCUUCAUUUUAAAAAUAGCCCAUAGAUCAAAACCAUAAAGGGAGGGAAACAUAGACUGAGUCCAAGCCAAAGACCAGGUGGAACAGCUCUGUCUUGCAGGCCCUGCGGAAAGAUGUCAAGUCCCACAGUGCCCUGGUCUCUUGUGACAGAGCUUUCCACCAAGUCGGGGCCAGUACUGAAAAGGCCCUGGCCCUAGUUGAGACCAAUCUAACCACCUUGCGACUUGGGACCUCCAAAGUGUCGUCAUUUGUGGACCUUAAGGUCCUCCGUGAGGCAUACCUGGAGAGGCGGUCCCGUAGGUACGUGGGUCCUAUGUAUUGCAACACAGAAAGCUUCCUAUUGUAUGAAGCUACUGGCUGUGUGUUCUGAUUCUUUGGAUGGUUCCUGAUGGGGUGAAAGUGAAUUAAAUUGGGGUGGGGGUUAAAUAUGGCUUGGCAUUUUGAUGACAAGUGCCAUAUUUUUUGCUCUAUAAGACGCACCAGACCAUAAGACGCACCUAGUUUUUGCAGGAGGAAAACAAGGAAAAAAAUAUUUUGAAUCUCAGAAGCCAGAACAACAAGAGGGAUCGCUGUGCAGCGAAAGCAGCGAUCCCUCUUGUUGUUCUGGCUUCUGGGAUAGCUGCACAGCCUGCAUUCGCUCCAUAAGACGCACACACAUUUCCCCUUACUUUUUAGGAGGGAAAAAGUGAGUCGUAUAGAGCAAAAAAUACGGUAUAUUGCAUGGACAGACAUUGCUAAAAGCAAUGAAGGUUUGAGAAGUCCUGAUCCCAUAAUAAACACCCACCUCAAAGCACCCUCUGUGUUCUACUAGGGUGGUGGGGUUUGGAUGCUGAGAUCCAGGUUCAAAUGUUCGCUUAGCCAUGAAGGUCAGCCAGAGGCGCCACUUCUCAACCAACCCCUACCUCACAGGAUCGGUGUUGGGGUGAAAUGAGAAGCUGACGAAGAGUUCUGCAGAACAGCAAAUCCUUCAUCACAUCCCAAUGACAGCUUGCCAGAGUUCCUGAGAAGGAGCCACGCCACCUCUGGGGUUUAGGCAUGUCCUGGGAUGUCUCAAGAGCCUAACCUGCACGGCGCCUGGCGAACCAAAUAUGGAAGAGGAAGUCCCAAAAGUGGUGAGAAAAGGGAAACCACAGCAGCUCAGAGCCAAGCACAGGCUGUUCAGGAAAAGAUUGAGCAACCGGCAAAGUACUGGAGAAGUCAAGACAAGAAAUAAAUAAUAAUAAUAAUAAUAAUAAUAAUAAUAAUAAUAAUAAUAAUUUAUUUAUACCCUGCCCAUCUGGCUGAGUUUCCCCAGCCACUCUGGGCGGCUUCCAACAAAACACUAAAAUACAAUAACCUAUUAAACAUUAAAAGCUUCCCUAGCUGCUGCAUUCUGGAUUAAUUGCAGUUUCCGGGUCACCUUCAAAGGUAGCCCCACGUAGAGUGCAUUGAAAUAGUCCAAGCUUGAAAAGCACAGCUUCUGCUUCCUGUUCAUUUACUCAAGCACAUGUCCCACCCUGUCCCAGAGGCUCGAGGUGAACAGCAAAACAUCUAUUAUGAAAACAGAAAUUAAACCCAUCCUAUACCCUAGGAGGCUGCUCUAGGCUCCUUUGGAAAGAAGGACAGGAUAUCAUGUCAUGGGACAAAUGACGAAAGUGGGACCUGCAGUAAAGUUUUGCAGCGGUGGACUUUGGGCUCUCCAAUUCCAGCAGCGCUCUGUGGGACACGAAAAUGUGGCACCUCCCGCCUUUUGCAGUCCAUUCCACAGCAUGGUUGGGGUGCCCCCGGCAGUGUGGCCCUCCUUGAGGUCAAACCGAUCAAGCUACCCUGAAACUGCCUCUGCAAAGUGCUCCUGAUCAGGGUUCCAGCCAGCCACAUCAGGAAGCUCCAUUCCAUACUUCCACCCUCCUGGUUUUCCACCUCCCCUGCCUUCCCAACAAUGAGACCCAUUUGGCAAAGUCUGCUCGCUUAUGUGUUUGCACAAAGUUUUGGGGAGGUUAGACACAGGUUUUUUGGGGGGAACAUCUGUUCUUAUUUGUUUGCAGGGAGGUUAUAGGACAGGGCAUCAAGCAAGCCUUAUCCCAAACUUUGUAUUUCCUUUUCACUUUUCUUAAGGGCAGAAACGGAUUUGUUGAGCAAAGGCACGAAAUCAACUCUUAAUUAUGCAACCUGAGUUUGUCAGUAUGUGAUUGUAUCACACCUGAAAAUGCACACACAUCCCUUUUAGCAGGAUCUCUCUAUCUUUCCUUUCUUCCUUUAUUUCUUCUUCAAAUACUGGUGUUUUCCUGAGGCUGCUGAGUCCUCUCUCUUGCUGCAGAAGUGGGGAUGGCGAGGCUUACGAGUGACACACAUUAUUGCCUUUCUGCUUUUCUGAAACCAAAACAGUUCAAAAGCAAAACAGCAACUCCUAGUCUCCACCCAAAAAACCAGACAGGAGGAAUUUCAAACCAAACAAACUUUUGUUAUGCAGAUUAAAAAAUGCCGAUGAAAUUAAUCAGCUCUGUUUCAAUCUGGGAACUGAAAAGCCUUCUGACCAUAAGAGCUAAUCACCAAAUCAUUUAUUGGGUAUGGAAAUUCCAGUGUUGGUGUUUUACAGCUCCUAUUUUGGAAAUGUGAUGUUUGUUGGGGUUUUUGCCAUUUAUUUUUUUUAAAUAAAAGCACAGAAGUCAGAUGACCAUCUGUCAGGAAUUUUAAAGCUGUGUUUCCUAAAUCACAGUGGGUUGGACUUGAAUGUGUGGAGAAAAGAAUCAGGGAGGGGGGGUUCAUUCACAAAGAGACCCCACAUGUGUGGCGUUAUCGUGCUUCCCUCCACAAUAUUGAUAUCCCCCAUACUCUUCCAUCAUAAAAAACCCAAGUACCUAUUCCUCAUGGUUGAAAUAUUUCUGUUGAGAAACACUAGUGAAAUAGCCUGGCUCCCUUCAGUCCCAGGCAGGACUUGUGCAAGUUAAUUAUCACUUUCUUGAGCACGUUUGUUCUUCCCACCCAUGGCCUGAGCUCUUCCUGGGCUCCCCUGAUAACAAGUUUAACUGGUUGAGAGGCCUUGAGGUGGAGGCUAUUCUGGGCAGAGGACACAAAGAGAUUGGUUGUGGGGUGUUCGUCGCUGAGGUACUAAACCUUCCCGGGUUGUGAAGAAGAAGAGGAGUUUGGAUUUGAUAUCCCGCUUUAUUACUCCCCUUCAGGAGUCUCAAAGCGGCUAACAAUCUCCUUUUCCUUCCUCCCCCACAACAAGCACUCUGUGAGGUGAGUGGGGCUGAGAGACUUCAGAGAAGUGUGACUAGCCCAAGGUCACCCAGCAGAUGCAUGUGGAGGAGCGGGGAAUCGAACCCGGUUCACCAGAUUACGACCCCACCGCUCUUAACCACUACACCACACUGGCUCUCUGUGCAGGCUCUCUGUGCAGGCGAAGGAGAAAGGCGUGGUGAAUUUCCCCCCCCAUUAAUGGAAUGCAUUAUUACUACGUCUACAUGGCACUUUUUGGAGCAACAUAGGCAGGAUUUUUUUAAAAAGGAGACAGAAAAAGCAGUAUCUGCCCCAAGGCGCUUCCAGUCUGAGGGCUGGAUACGGUGGAGACAUCUGAAUAUUCAUUUCAGCUGGAGACAGAAGGGGCGGGUGCCCUUUGGGAGUGGAGUAGAGGAAGGCAGGGAGUCCAAAAGUGGGUGGAGCCACAGCCAAUGAGAGGCGGAGCCAAGGAAGUAGUUUUGCCCCCAUCCUUGUCCCUGCCAAGUUCUACAAGCAUGGCCUGCCCGCUCGUGAGACAAAGCGAGGCAGUUGCCUCAGGCGGCAGCAAGAGAUGCUCAACAGAGGAACAGUCUUCCUUGGAAGGUGAAGGGCUCUCCUUCCAUGGAGGUUUUUAAGCAGAGAUUGGAUGGCCGUCUGUCAUGGAUGCUUUAGCUGAGAUUCCUGCAUUGCAGGGAUUGGAUGAGACAACCCCUUCCAACUCAAUAUUUCUAUCCAUUUCUUGGUCAUCAUCAGGGGGUUUGGGUUGGGUGUUCAUCAGUACACAGAUGACACCCAGCUCCACCUCUCUCUUAAGUCAGAACCAGUGAAGGCGGUGAAGGUCCUGUGUGAGUGCCUGGAGGCGGUUGGAGGGUGGAUGGCGGCUAACAGAUUGGGGUUGAAUCCUGACAAGACAGAAGUACUGUUUUGGGGGGACAGGGUGCGGGCUGGUGUGGAGGACUCCCUGGUCCUGAAUUGGGUAACUGUGCCCUUGAAGGACCAGGUGCGCAGCGUGGGAGUCAUUUUGGACUCACAGCUGUCCAUGGAGGUGCAGGUCAAUUCUGUAGGCGGUUGUCUACCAGCUCCACCUGGUAUGCAGGAUGAGACCCUACCUGCCCGUGGACUGUCUUGCCAGAGUGGUGCAUGCUCUGGUUAUCUCCCGCUUGGACUACUGCAAUGCGCUCUACGUGGGGCUACCUUUGAAGGUGACCUGGAAACUGCAAUUAAUCCAGAAUGCGGCAGCUAGACUGGUGACUGGGGUGGCCGCCGGGACCACAUAACACCGGUCCUGAGAGAUCUGCAUUGGCUCCCAGUACGUUUCCAAGCACAAUUCAAAGUUCUGGUGCUGACCUUGAAAGCCCUAAACGGCCUUGGUCCUGUAUACCUGAAGGAGCGUCUCCACCUCCAUCAUCCAGCCCAAACACUGAGGUCCAUCUCCAAGGGCCUUCUGGCAGUUCCCUCAUUGUGAGAAGUGAGGUUACAGGGACCCAGACAGAGGGCCUUCUCAGUAGUGGUGCCCGCCCUGUGGAACGCCCUCCCUUCAGAUGUGAAGGAAAUAAGCAGCUAUCUUAUCUUUAAGAGACAUCUGAAGGCAGCCCUGUUUAGGGAAGUUUUUAAUAUUUAAUGCUGUAUUGUUUUUAACACUCGAUUGGAAGCCGCCCAGAGCGGCUGGGGAAACUCAGCCAGAUGGGCGGGGUAUAAAUAAUAAAUUAUUAUUAUUAUUAUUAUUAUUAUUAUUAUUAUUAUUCAAGUGACUGGCCCUCAUGAUCAUCGCUAGAGGCUUCCCAUCUUCUCCCCAACUCCCCCCUGCCUUCAAGGCGCGUCUCUUGCAGUGUGUUUGCAGAGGCUCAGAGCAGAGCGACAGGAGCUGGGCGGGAAGAUCUAAUCAACGGCGGAGGCAGAGAAGUUUCUGAUGAGCCAUUCCAGAGACACCUCUAAACUUUCCGCACCCUCAGCGCCUUUGGGUGCAGCUUGCGUUUCCGUGCCUCCCACGUCUUUUCCUGAUUUUGCAAACACCGUGUCUUCAAAUAGGGUGAGCCAAGGUGCUAAAUAAAUCCUGAAAUUAUAAGAUGAUUAAAAACAGCACGCACCGUUUAAAUAUAGACGCGGGGUUUGCAAAAUAGACGUCAGUGCAAAUGUGGUCCCUGUGCUGAAUCAAGGAUUAAAUUCCUAGUUCUCGUUGGCGCAGUGGGGAUUCUGCCAAACGGUGUGUUCUAAAGACCGGUCCUUGCACCCAGGACGGGCCCCUUUGCCAACCUGGUGCCCUCUAGAUGUUUUGGACUACAAUACCCAGUCCUGGUUUGGGCUCAUGGGAGUUGCAGUCCAAACCAUCUGGAGGGCACCAGGUUGGCAAAGGUGCCCACCCUAGGUGCCAGGCAUGAAGAUACUCCAAGGAAGACCAUUUGCCCAGAAAACAGAGUCCCAAGCUACCACAACAUCCGACUGCUGAAUGGAGGUCCUUUGGCCUUCAUUGUGUUUGACUACUCUGUGCUGGGCCUCAUUAUCUGACUGUCCGAGAGACGUCCUGACUCCUGUUCUUUUUCAUGCAAACAGAGAGGGAUCAUUCAAAUUUGGUGCCGGGAAAUCGCAAACUGCUGCCUUCCAAACAAAGGCUGUUAAUCAGUAACACUGAUUUUUUUUUUUUAGUGUUUGCCUCAACAUCCAUUUCCUAGGUUUGAAACCUUUUUUCUGAUCUUGACUUGCAUUUGUUUGAAUUUUUGAAGUUGGGACGUCCUGGGAAGAAGCACCAAUGUUCUGGAUGGAGAAGACUCGAACAAAUGGACCGAUAGCUUCGGUUAUUAAAUUCAUG
rnacentral:lncRNA from 1 species